rnacentral:rRNA from 1 species
AACCUCCGCAAUGUGAGAAAUCGCGACGGGGGGAUCCCAAGUGCCAUUCUUAACGGGAUGGCUUUUCAUUAGUGUAAAGAGCUUUUGGAAUAAGGGCUGGGCAAGACCGGUGCCAGCCGCCGCGGUAACACCGGCAGCUCUAGUGGUAGCAGUUUUUAUUGGGCCUAAAGCGUCCGUAGCCGGUUUAAUAAGUCUCUGGUGAAAUCCUGUAGCUUAACUGUGGGAAUUGCUGGAGAUACUAUUAGACUUGAGACCGGGAGAGGUUAGAGGUACUCCCAGGGUAGAGGUGAAAUUCUGUAAUCCUGGGAGGACCGCCUGUUGCGAAGGCGUCUAACUGGAACGGUUCUGACGGUGAGGGACGAAAGUUAGGGGCGCGAACCGGAUUAGAUACCCGGGUAGUCCUAACUGUAAACGAUGCGGACUUGGUGUUGGGGUGGCUUUGAGCUGCUCCAGUGCCGAAGGGAAGCUGUAAGUCCGCCGCCUGGGAAGUACGGUCGCAAGACUGAAACUUAAAGGAAUU